rnacentral:SRP_RNA from 12 species
CUUUUAGACCUGUGCAAUGGGCCCUUGGAGCAAUGCUUCAGGGUGGGAACACAGCAGAGCCCUCCAGAGGUUCAUGUGCCGCAGGUAUCUGAAGGGGGG